rnacentral:rRNA from 1 species
CACUUCUAAGGAAGGCAGCAGGCGCGCAAAUUACCCAAUCCUGACUCAGGGAGGUAGUGACAAGAAAUAACAAUAAACCGGCUUAUGCCGGUUUAAUUGGAAUGAGUACAAUUUAAACAUCUUAACGAGGAACAAUUGGAGGGCAAGUCUGGUGCCAGCAGCCGCGGUAAUUCCAGCUCCAAUAGCGUAUACUAAAGUUGUUGCAGUUAAAAAGCUCGUAGUUGGAUUUCUGUGGGGACGGAGCGGCCGGCCGCAACUCGCGGUUCGAGCUAGCGCUUUCCCUACAUCCUGCCGCGAACCGUGCUACCAUUAGUUUGGUGGCGCCGGGGAUCGGCUCGAUUACUUUGAGAAAAAUAGAGUGUUCAAAGCAGGCCACACGCCUUGAAUAAGUUAGCAUGGAAUAAUAACUAAGGACUUCGGUUCUAUUUUGUUGGUGUUCGGGACUGAAGUAAUGAUUGAUAGGGACAGUUGGGGCGGUCUGUAUUCCAAAGCGGGAGGUGAAAUUCUUAGACCUUCGGAAGACAAACAGCUGCGAAAGCGUUCCGCAAGGAUGUUCCCUUUGAUCAAGAACGAAAGUUGGGGGAUCGAAGACGAUCAGAUACCGUCGUAGUCUCAACUAUAAACUAUACCAGCUAGGGAUCGGCCAACGUUAUUUUAUACCGACUUGGUCGGCACCUUAUGAGAAAUCAAAGCAUCUGGGUUCCGGGGGGAGUAUGGUCGCAAGGCUGAAACUUAAAGGAAUUGACGGAAGGGCACCACCAGCCGUGGAGCCUGUGGCUUAAUUUGACUCAACACGGGAAAACUUACCAGGUCCAGACAUAGUAAGGAUUGACAGAUUGAUAGCUCUUUCUUGAUUCUGUGGGUGGUGGUGCAUGGCCGUUCUUAGUUGGUGGAGUGAUUUGUCUGGUUAAUUCCGUUAACGAACGAGACCCCAGCCUGCUAAAUAGCGCGCGUGAGCUUUGCUCGCGGCGAGCUUCUUAGAGGGACUCUGAUGCGCGAUAGCACAUGGAAGUUUGGGGCAAUAACAGGUCUGUGAUGCCCUUAGAUGUUCUGGGCCGCACACGGGCUACACUGGCGCCUGCAACGAGCAUAUCAGCUGGCCCGAGAGGGUCUUGGCUAAUCUUUUGAACCGGCGCCGUGCUUGGGAUUGACCUUUGCAAUUGUUGGUCAUGCAACGAGGAAUGCCUUGUAAACGCGAGUCAUCAGCUCGCAUUGAAUACGUCCCUGCCCUUUGUACACACCGCCCGUCGCUCCUACCGAUGAAUGUUCCGAUGAAAUUUUCGGAGAGCACCUGUGAACUUGGCUCUGCCUUGCGAACGGGAGGCUCAAAGUCACUUAAAUCUGAACAUU